rnacentral:rRNA from 1 species
UACGAAGGGGACUAGCGUUGUUCGGAAUUACUGGGCGUAAAGCGCACGUAGGCGGAUUUGUUAGUCAGGGGUGAAAUCCCGGGGCUCAACCUCGGAACUGCCUUUGAUACUGCAAGUCUCGAGUCCGAUAGAGGUGGGUGGAAUUCCUAGUGUAGAGGUGAAAUUCGUAGAUAUUAGGAAGAACACCGGUGGCGAAGGCGGCGCUCUGGACCGAGACUGACGCUGAGGCGCGAAAGCGUGGGGAGCAAACAGG